GACGAACGCUGGCGGCGUGCUUAACACAUGCAAGUCGAACGGUGAAGCGCCUUCCUUUUUGGUGGGUGUGGAUGAGUGGCGAACGGGUGAGUAACACGUGAGUAACCUGCCCCCUUCUUCUGGAUAACCGCAUGAAAGUGUGGCUAAUACGGGAUAUUCUCGGUCUGUCGCAUGAUGGGUCUGGGAGAGAUUUUGUGUCGGUGGGGGCUGGGCUCGCGGCCUAUCGGCUUGUUGGUGGGGUGAUGGCCUACCAAGGCGGUGCCGGGUGGCCGGCAGGAGAGGGUGGGCGGCACGAGAGGGACGGAGCGACGGACACGACUACGACGGGCGGCAGCAGGGGGGAAUAGUGUACAAUGGGAGCAAGGCUGAUGCAGCGACGCGGCGGGAGGGAUGGAGUCCUGCGGGUUGUGAACCUCUUUCGCGAGUGAAGCAGGCCUGCCUCGUUUGUGGGUGGGUUGACGGUAGCUGGAUAAGAAGCGCCGGCUAACUACGUG
rnacentral:rRNA from 1 species